rnacentral:rRNA from 1 species
GACAGAGGUCUCAAGCGUUGUUCGGAUUCAUUGGGCGUAAAGGGUGCGUAGGCGGCGCGGUAAGUCGGGUGUGAAAUCUCGGGGCUUAACUCCGAUACUGCAUUCGAUACUGCCGUGCUUGAGGACUGGAGAGGAGACUGGAAUUUACGGUGUAGCGGUGAAAUGCGUAGAUAUCGUAAGGAAGACCAGUGGCGAAGGCGGGUCUCUGGACAGUUCCUGACGCUGAGGCGCGAAGGUCAGGGGAGCGAACGGG